GCGGUCGGGGGCGGGGCCUCGGCGAGCAGGAGCGCGAGGCGGCCUCGGCCUGGAGAGGGCGCUGCCACGCCACCAGGUGCUCCGGGUUUGGGGCUUGGCUGCUGGCUCUGUGCAGUUCUGUGUUCCCCCGGUUCUUCCCACGGGAACGCCGCGUCCUCUGGAAAGCGCUCGAGUCAACAUCAAAAUCAGAAGUAUCACUUCUAUCAGAUGGAGUAUCUUCCUCAGUCCACAGGCACUGGGAAAAGGGGCUAAGGUCGAGCAACUGUGACCUUUCCCCACUGGCCACCAGAAGACAGGAUUCCAUUUGGUCAGGAUCCUCUUCUAAGUUGAUGAUCUCUUCUGGAAGAGAUGACACCAAAGGGGAUUCUUCUGAGUCAUCGUCAUCAGGAGCUCUCAUAAACACAGAGUCUAAAUUCACAUUAAAGCCAUGAGAUGACCAGUUUGCACUGCCAUGUGCCCUCCACUGAGAUGUGCUGCCUCUCCAGAGCGACUGGACCAAUCGACCAUGGACCAAAACUUCCAAAACUUGAGCCAAAAUAAAAAAACCUUUCCUCUUUACAAGUUGAUUAUCUCAGGUUUUGUUACAGUAACAUAAAGGCAACUAACACAGACCAAAUGCAAUCUUUAAAAUAGGACAUCCUACAAACUAAAUUAUGUAAAUUGAAAUUAACAAGCUAGAACAAUGCUUGUCAAAUUGGGGUAUUCUCACAAAUCUGAGCAUUCUUUGUGAGAACUUAAAAUUUUUGUCUCUAUUUAUUUUUUUAUUGUUUGGUACUAGGGAUUUAACCCAGGGGCACUUUACCACUGAGCUACAUCCCCAGUCCAUUUUACUUUUUAUUUUGAGACAAGGUCUCACAAAGUUGUUUAGGGCCUUACCAAUUUGCUGGGGCUGGCCUCAAAACUUGCCAUCCUCCUGUUUCAGCCUCCUGAGUUGCUGGGAUUAUAGGCAUGGGCCUAUAAUGUUUAUAUUUAGCUCGAUGAUAAUCUAAAAAGACUGGUAGAUUAUGCAAGUAUACUAUUUUAAAAUAUUCCUAUUUGAAAAGAGAGGAAUUGUUUCGAUGUUCCAACUCAGGAGGAAGUUGUAAGUGGACUUUAUUUCUGUUAACCAUCUUUUUCAUAAAAGAGGGGUAAGAUCAAUGCAUCUUGAGAAGGGGAGACCAGGUUGUGUCUUCAAAAUUUGGAUUUUCCAUGGAAUUGCAUUGGGAUUUUCAAAAAAAUAAAGGACCUUAUGAGCAGAGGGCUGAGCUGAGCAACAAGAAUGGUAAUAUCUGAUUACUAUUUUCUUUUUUAAUGGAAAAGAAAAAGAACUUUGUCAAAAGGCUGAUUGAUGACUAAUGUCAGUUUAUUGGUGUGGACCGAAAACCACGACAUGGCAUCUAGGUUACCGUAGUUCCAGCCCAUUAGUCCCCUGGCUCCCCCACCUGGUGGCAACCAGACAUUCAGAUCUGUUCACAUCCCUUCGGGGUCCCCACAAUGGCAUCCAAAGUCCCACAUCUGGGUCCUCCAUCUCUAUGACUAACCUGUUACUCUUCUUUCUUUGCUCAGCUCACACUUGCCAUCCCAUGCCCAGCCCACUCUGCCCAACCACCCCAUCAGUCUGACCCAUCCAAGCCUGCAGUGCUUUUGCUGGGUCUGAGUAAGUUAGUGCUGGUCUCAGGUUGCCCCUCCAAACCCCUCAGGAUUUGCCCUGUGUGGAUCUUGAGCUUGUCUAGUUGAGGGCAGUUCAGAUGGUGAGCAGAUAGGGACAGAUGCCACCGUAUUCAAACCUAUUUGGUUCCUGAGUUUCAGACGAGAAGAAUCCAGAUGUCAAGUAUUUGGAUAGUCUAACUGUCUUGGACAUGACGGAUGAGUGAAAGCUGACUUAAUAGGCAAGAGGACGUGGUCAGGCCAAGUGCAGAUGGAAUGACUGGACGGUGCUGCAUGACCAUUUCUCAGCAGGUGGAUUAGAGAAAAGUCAGGGGGAAGCGCAUCCUCCCAGACAUGUCAGCCUCCAAAGAACUGUCAGCUGCCCAAUCAGCAGCUCUGGGUUUCAUCAAAGCAUCAUCCUAUUGUCAUUUUAACAAUUUAAGUUGUAUUAUAUAUGUGAGAGUUCUGUUUCUAUAUAAGACUAGGAUAUAAUUUCAUUUAUGUCUCUUUAUCUAUCUAUCCAUCCAUCAAUCUACCUCUGGACUCUCUGGUUUUUGUCCUGGGCAUAAAACCUCAAAAGCUGUGGAACUUCCUAAGAGAUAGCAGUAUCUUUUGUUAAUUCUAACAAGCCCCAUUUAGGGACUACUGUGGUUGAAAUGACUCCUCCAAAGCUCACUGAAAUUUAAUUGUCACUGUGAUGUUUUGGGGAGGUAUAUGAAUCAUGGGACCCUGCCCUUCUGAAUGGAGUAAUGCUGGUAUUGUGGGAAAGGGUUAGAUGUUGGAAGUAGUUUUGUUAUAAAAUGAGCACUCUCCCCCAUAUGUGAUGUCCUCCAUCCUGCUACCCAGUUCCAAGACUCUGUUAUAGCAGCAGAAAAUAGGCUAAGACUGAUUUCUGAGUUUAUGCUAAUUAAAUGACUCAUGGGGUGCAGCUAGGUAUCUUCAGGAUGAAGGCAGAUCAAUAGAAAAACUAAUCAUUUGAUCAGAGGGUUGGAACUUCCUCCCAGCCCUAUCCCCAGGAGGAGAGAGAAGAUGGAGACUAUGUCCAAUCUUGUGGCCAAUGAUUUAGCCAAUCACACCUAUAUAGUGAAACUCAAUAAAGCCCAGAACACUAAGGCUUGGGAGCUCCUGGAUGGGUGAACAUACUGGGAGUACUGGGAGGGGGUACACCCUGAUUCUAUGGAGGCAGAAGCUCCUGCAUUGGGACCCCUUCCAGACCUGGUUCUACGUACUUCUGCAUUAGGUCUUGGUGCACAGGCUCUGUAGUAAAAUGGUAAUCAGAAGUGUGGCAUGUCACUGAGUUCUGUGAGUCAAUUUUAGCAAAUUUUGAUUACAAAAGAGUAAUAGGUUAGGUCAGAGAGAUGCAGAACCCAAAAGGAACUCUCUAAUUUGUAGUCAAGUUGACCUGGGAACCCAAAACUUGUGACUGCUAUCUGAAGUGGGGGUAGUUAGUAUCAGAAAUGAAUUGGAUUGUUGGACAUCUUGAGGUCAGAUAACUGGCGUUAGAACAUGAUUACAUGGGGGAGGAGAGGAUACAGUUCAGACCCUGAGGCCUAGAAUCAGAGAGGCCCUGGGAGGUGCAGCCACCUGAAGUUCCUGGGGGUGAUGGUUUAGAAUUUAGAAGUUAUGUUGAGGUGUUCUUGGAUGGAAGGGACAGGAGUUAAAAAAUUAGCUGGCCCCUACCCCCAUGAGGUUGUGGCCCCCUCCCCCAAUUUUUCUUCAUGUUUCUUAAAAGGCAUUUUCAUUUUUUAAAAAUCUGUACAGCAAGAGCAACUUUUUCUUUCAAAUAAAAAUGAGAAAUGCAAAAAAAAGAGAGAACAUAAUUACAUAAAUUUCUUCUGUGUUUAUAUGUUUGUAAGAGCUAAAGGGAAAAAGAUUUUAUGCAGUUUUUGGUUUUCUCUUGUUUAAUUGAUAUUGUAAAAACAACUGAAACGAGAGGAUUGAGAUUCUUUUUCCUUUAAAAUCAGCCCACAUGUGCAUCAUUCAGCUUUGAGGAACAUGAGAGGACAAAAUCACAAUGUGCUAUAGCCACAGCCAGUUGCAGCCAGGUACUGCUGCAUGUCUUACUGCAUGUGCAACAACCAUGUCACUUAAAGUCAUCUCCUUACACAUCCCACUUAUCUUACUCUGGUAAAGCAGAACAUUAAAGAUACUUCCACCAGGGCUGGGAAGAUUAGAAGAGCUUCUUGCCAGAAGACCUUUCAUAGAUUUUUUCCCUUUUGUUACAACAGUUGGCAAUAUAGUGACUUCCUGAGAAGAUAACCAGCAGGGAAAACUCCUAAGCUCUAUCAUUCUCCUGCACACUUCUGCACACAGAAGAGGGUUCAAGAUCACACUGUUGGCUAUUCUGGUGUUUUUGCAACAGAAAGGCUUUCCACCUUCGUCAUUCACCUUCUCCUCCUUGCUGGCAAGGCUCAGCUCGCUCUCAUCUGUGAGCUAGAGUCAAUGCUCCUGGGAGCCAGGUCUUAUCUACAGACCACACCCAGCCUCAGGCAGCCAGCUAGUGGGCACCCUCCCAUGCCUCUGCAUGCGGUUGCUUCAAGCAAUUUUCAGCAUACCAUGAAUUCCACAUUCUUUGCUUUCAAUAGGUUUUCUUCAGAGUAAACCUAUUGAAAUUUCAAAACAUGAUUUUCAGAAAGCCACACACCUGAUUC